GUAUACCGUACCCUGUUGCUUCGGCGGGCCCGCCUCACGGCCGCCGGGGGACCUCGCGUCCCCGGGCCCGCGCCCGCCGAAGACCCCAACACGAACACUGUCUGAAAAGUGCAGUCUGAGUCGAUUGUUACCAAUCAGUCAAAACUUUCAACAAUGGAUCUCUUGGUUCCGGCAUCGAUGAAGAACGCAGCGAAAUGCGAUAACUAAUGUGAAUUGCAGAAUUCAGUGAAUCAUCGAGUCUUUGAACGCACAUUGCGCCCCCUGGUAUUCCGGGGGGCAUGCCUGUCCGAGCGUCAUUGCUGCCCUCAAGCACGGCUUGUGUGUUGGGCCCCGUCCCCGGUACCCCCGGGGACGGGCCCGAAAGGCAGCGGCGGCACCGCGUCCGGUCCUCGAGCGUAUGGGGCUUUGUCACCCGCUCUGCAGGCCCGGCCGGCGCCAGCCGACCAACCCAACCAUUUUUUACAGGUUGACCUCGGAUCAGGUAGGGAUACCCGCUGAACUUAAGCAUAUCAAUAAGCGGAGGA
rnacentral:misc_RNA from 1 species